CGGAAAUGAUGUCAAUCUUCCAUCCUGACCCGCUGUGGAGGGAAAAGACUGAUUUAAUGAGGCUGAUCC
rnacentral:snoRNA from 1 species